GAGGAUAUAGCCCAGUAGCAGAAUGUGUGCCUAGCAAGCACAAGGUCCUGGGUUCAGUCCCCAGUACCUCCA
rnacentral:tRNA from 1 species